CGUCAAUGUCUCCAUCAUCGCAUC
rnacentral:miRNA from 1 species